rnacentral:rRNA from 1 species
AGAUUGAACGCUGGCGGCAUGCCUAACACAUGCAAGUCGAACGGGAGUAGCAAUACUCUAGUGGCGGACGGGUGAGGAAUACGUAGGAAUUUGCCCUUAAGUGGGGGAUAACCCGGGGAAACCCGGAUUAAUACCGCAUGACCUCGAAAGAGCAAAGUGGGGGAUCGCAAGACCUCACGCUUUUGGAGAAGCCUACGUCGGAUUAGCUAGUUGGUGAGGUAAUGGCUCACCAAGGCGACGAUCCGUAACUGGUCUGAGAGGAUGAUCAGUCACACCGGAACUGAGACACGGUCCGGACUCCGUACGGGAGGCAGCGAGGUGGGGAAUAGUGGACAGUGGCGCAGCCUGAUCCAGCAAUGCCGCGGUGUGGUAGAA